CUAUUAGGUUCUGCUGUAUCUGGGAAGGAUGUCCUACUGGGUUCUGCUCCAGGUGUAUCUGGGAAGGAUGUCUAUUGGGCUCUGCUCCAGGUGUAUCUGGAAGGAUGUCCUAUUGGGUUCUGCUCCAGGUGCAUCUGGGAAGGACGUCCUGUUAAGUUCUGCUCCAGACCACUUUUGGACCUCCACUGAGAGUGGUUCACAAAGCUUGCUGGAGGAGCUGCCUGGAAAUCCUCAGCUGCAGUCCCCCUCAUCUCUCUGCUAAGUGACGAUAAAGCACAGAAAUCUACCAGCCGUGACUCUGAGGCAUCUUCUUCCUAGACAUGUGUGGCGCUCAGCAUCAGUGUGUAUGGAGAGAGGCUAAGCUGACACCCCUUCUCAUCAUGUCUGGUGACUGUACAUAGAUGUCAGCUGGUGCACCACACAGGUGGAAUGACUGGCGCCUGCGCAGUUCUGCGAGGCCAGGCUGCUUCCCACCUGCAGCAGUCUGAAGGAGGGGCAGGGGCUUGCUCUGGCAGUGUGGCCUGAGGCCAUGUGCCCAGCUUGCCAAACACCCGGGGUGCCCUGGGGCUUUAUCCUUAUGAUCUUCUGGCAGUCUUCUGGCUUGGGCACCUUUGGGUUUGUGACUGUGAGUGGGAUUGAUUCUCAUAUGCUUCUUUUAAAAUAAAAACCAGAGAUAGAGUUUUAAGCCCUGCCCCCAGGUGAACUGAAUGGUAUUGCAGAAGUUAUGGCUUCAAUGAUGUAUAAUAACUGACUAUUUAAGAGUGACAUGAAGUAAUAAGGUGGAGCUAGACUUCAUGCUAGAGUCUUAAGUGAGCAUUAUCAGGCUCUGAAAACAUCUUUUGUUCUUAUUUAUUUGAGCGCAUGUAAUGGAUGCUUAAAAGCUGUUGAGAUUUGGUAAUAUGAAGUAAUCUUUAAGGUGCUACUUAAGCAAGGGUGUGAUUCCAUUAAACUUAAGUCAUUAAUAUGCACUCAUUUAAAGCCAAGGCAAUAACUAUCGAUUUGCCAGGGUAGCAACUUUGUUACUAGUAUUACUAAUGUGCAUGGUAAUGGUCCCCUCUGCCCACAAGUUACUGUGGCAGUGCUGUAUCAACUCUGUAAAAAUAAGACUUGUGUGGUGAGUGGGUUUUAUUGUUUCAUUUUGCUCAGUUCCAGUUCGUAUCAUCUUACUGCAGUGGCUGGGCUCUCUCUACCCGCCACGACAGUGACAUUGAUGUUGUUGACGAGGCCAAAUCAGGAAUAGCCCCUGGCGUUAUUUGGCUGCUGAUACCAGAGUCCAGACUUUGAACAUUCUUUUUCACUGAGUUACUUGUACAAAAAUUAAUGCUAAAAGGAAGUAGAAUUCAUUUUUCUUUCCCCCUCCCCCUGUGGAUGGUGAUGAGUUAUUGUUUAGAUCUCAUACUAGUAAGGGAUUUAUAAUGCCUGUUGGUAUUUUAGAAUUCCCUGGUAUUGGGAAGGUCUGUCCCUGGACACAGGGCAGGAAGUAUCCUUGAUUUUUGCUUGUUUCCUUGAUGACUUGUUAAGUUUACUGUUUUACACAAAUAGGAUUCUGGAUGAAAUAUGCUCUUGAUAGAAAGUGUGUAAGUAAAACAGGGGCUUUCCGAAAGUGCUCUGUCUCCUGUAACUAUAGAAGAGCCAGGCCUUGGGGAAGGAAGGUGGGUGAGGGUGGCAGAGGUGGGAGGUGGACUUUGAGUGGCCUUCCCGUUGGGCAGGUGAUGUUGGUUGCUGGUUGAGAACACUGACCAGGUAUAGGAAGCUCACAGGACUGACCAUAUCAGUAGGACCAUAGGGCAGUUUUGAUAACUGUGGUUUAUUGUUGAAAGAUAAUGUGGGAUGGGAAGUGAUAUUCAGAACACUAGCAUUCCGUGAAACCAAGAUUUAAAAUGAUCUUACCAUUGUGUGGUGCCUUGUAGCUUUCAACUGCUUUCAUGCUGAUCUUUUUUUUAGUUCUUUAAAAGUAUUUCCCAAAGAAAUGAUGUUCUCUUCUUUGUACAGGUGAGGAGACUGAAUUUCAAAUGGUUAGAAAGCCAUGAUGAGCAUUAGAAUCUUGGUUUCCUGACACAUUGUCAGUGUCCUGAGUGGUGAGUGAGCUGGUAGACCUUAUGGCUUUUGAGAGGUCAACGAUUGGGGAUCCAGUGCUGCAAGGAGCUCUGUGGCAGUUGUGGGUACUCUUGGGGGGGGGGCGGGAGCAGUGGCAGCCCCCCCCUCAGCAGUCUGUCCCUGGCUGAGCAGCAAGUCAGUGAGGAAAAAGCUGGCAUUUUCUUUCUACUUGGUUGUAAAGGGGUAGAGACUUUGCUGCAUGUUUUCUUAGCUGGUUGCCUCUAGAACUUUGCAUUAAAAAUCUAAUCUGUCCUCUAGAUUUAGGGGUGGGUACAUAGGUGUUCACUGUAUAAGUCUUCACAUUUUCUGAAUGCUUGAAAAUUUCCUAUGUUUCUCAUGGAAAAUAAACGUAAGAAAUGCAAUCCUUAGGGUUAACUUUUCUGGAUAGCGUCCUUUGGAAUCCGGAGGCUGGAUAUGGUAUGGUUUUUAUCAGAAAUGUUAAUCGUUUUGGUCAAGAGACAAUGCUGUUAAUUCUUGGUUGUGUUGUUUUUGGGAAAAAUAUUCUAAAUGAGGUUCCAGGAAUAACUUCUUCAGUGUGUCUACCAGAAAAGAGUGACCUUUUUCAGAGCUUCCCUACAACACUCACCAGAAUGAUGGCGAUCACGUUUACGCAGCCCCCCGUCACGCACGAGGCGAUCAAUUUCCAGUUUGAUGUGCGGCGCUUUUAUUCCAAGCGAAGGGCCCGUUCUGAUCUUCUCUGGCUCCUGCAGGGAUGGGCCCACAUCUGAUACACGCGAACCAUGCUCACCUCUGGUGCCCGGAGAGCUGGCGCUGCGUCUGUUGGAAUGCAGGGUGCACGGCGCGGACUCCUGGAUCAGAGGCUGCAAGCAGACCCCUUCUUGGUGUGAACGAAGUCUGUUCUCUCUGUGGUGGUGGACACUGACAUAUAUUUGAAGCCACCGCUCACUGAUUACUCACUGUGUGUUGUAUUAAAUGUAUUACGUAUACUAUCUAUUAGUACUUGAAACCCAAGUGUAAUUGCAUUUGUCUCACAAAAAGGGAAAGUGUUCAGAGAGCUUGCCCAGGCUCCGGCGAGCGUUAGGUCCCAGUCAUCUGCUUUGCCCUUGGAGCUCUGUCCGACCCUGCUGUCACCUGCUUGUCACAUGAUAGCUUUCCCAGUGUGAGGCCCACCCUCUUGCAGUAAGUUAGGCAAAUCCCAGGUAGGAAAUAGAAUUUUUAAAAGACGGCAAGUUUUAUGGUAUAUGGGAUUUUUCUUUUUUUUACAUAGUUCCUUUCAUAUACCCUAAAUGAUAUAGUUUUUCCAUCUGAUGUAACAAUUAACUUGAUUACCAGCCAUUACUGGCACAGGCACACCUUGUUUUAUUGCGCUUCAUAGAUGCUGCAUUUUUUUACAAAUUGAGGGCAAGACCCUCCAUCAGCGAGAAGGUGACUCAUUUUAUUGCAACACCUGCAUUAUUGGGGUGGUCUGGAACCAAACCCACGAUGUCCCCAAGGUCUGACUUACAAAAUUCUGUGAAGGACAUUUUGGGAACCUGUAGUCUCAGAAAAGAUCCUCUAUUUUUCAUUACCAAAAUCUGCUUAAUAAAGUUGUUGGGAUUGUG